CAGGAAAUAGGCAAAUACCCAUGCACGCAUGGUAACACACACAAAAUCUGAAUUCCUAGCUUCUUUUUGGCAAAGUAAUUUCCUGGAUUCCGGUCAUUACAUCCGAGGUUAAUCCAUAAAAGUCAAAAUAUAUUAUGUCUACAUAUCCUAAUAUCAAAUAACUUGUAAUUACGCGCAAAAUUUAUCGUGAACUUUGGAGUCAAUUUAGAUUUUAUAUUCAUUGACGUAGGCGUACGAAACAGGAGAGUAUUCGAAGAAUACUCGGGCAGUUUUAUCAGAAAAUAGGUUAAAUUCAGGUUAUUUCAUCAGCUACAAUCCUCCAUAAAAAUUCGGGCAAACUUCCAACUCCCCCCCCCCCCGGAAAGCAUUAGGCGCGUGUACGCCAAUUUUCAUUGAAGUAUUACAGUGAUUCACGAAUAGCCCGCAUUUAUGAAGAAAAAAUCAAACGAGGAAUGAUUGUAUAAUUUAUAGUUGAGAAAU